rnacentral:rRNA from 1 species
GACGAACGCUGGCGGCGUGCUUAACACAUGCAAGUUGAACGGAAAGGCCUCUUUCGGGGGGUACUCGAGUGGCGAACGGGUGAGUAACACGUGAGUAACCUGCCCUUGACUUUGGGAUAACUUCAGGAAACUGGGGCUAAUACCGGAUAGGAGCUCCUGCUGCAUGGUGGGGGUUGGAAAGUUUCGGCGGUUGGGGAUGGACUCGCGGCUUAUCAGCUUGUUGGUGGGGUAGUGGCUUACCAAGGCUUUGACGGGUAGCCGGCCUGAGAGGGUGACCGGCCACAUUGGGACUGAGAUACGGCCCAGACUCCUACGGGAGGCAGCAGUGGGGAAUAUUGCACAAUGGGUGGAAGCCUGAUGCAGCAACGCCGUGUGCGGGAUGACGGCCUUCGGGUUGUAAACCGCUUUCGCUCAUGACGAAGCUUUGUGUGACGGUAGUGGGUAAAGAAGCACCGGCUAACUACGUG